rnacentral:tRNA from 1 species
UGCAGCUCAGUGGUAGAGUGCUUGCCUAAUAUGCAAGAGGCCUUGGGUUCAAUCCCCAGCA